rnacentral:rRNA from 1 species
UACGAGGGGGGCAAGCGUUGUUCGGAAUUACUGGGCGUAAAGGGCGCGUAGGCGGCCUUCUAAGUCGAACGUGAAAUCCCCGGGCUCAACCCGGGAACUGCGUCCGAGACUGGAAGGCUCGAAUCCGGGAGAGGGAUGUGGAAUUCCAGGUGUAGCGGUGAAGUGCGUAGAUAUCUGGAGGAACAUCGGUGGCGAAGGCGGCAUCCUGGACCGGUAUUGACGCUGAGGCGCGAAAGCCAGGGGAGCAAACGGG